rnacentral:rRNA from 1 species
CAGUAACAAGUAAAGAAACCCCGGCUAACUCCGUGCCAGCAGCCGCGGUAAUACGGAGGGGGUUAGCGUUGUUCGGAAUUACUGGGCGUAAAGCGCACGUAGGCGGAUUGGAAAGUUGGGGGUGAAAUCCCGGGGCUCAACCCCGGAACUGCCUCCAAAACUAUCAGUCUAGAGUUCGAGAGAGGUGAGUGGAAUUCCAAGUGUAGAGGUGAAAUUCGUAGAUAUUUGGAGGAACACCAGUGGCGAAGGCGGCUCACUGGCUCGAUACUGACGCUGAGGUGCGAAAGUGUGGGGAGCAAACAGGAUUAGAUACCCUGGUAGUCCACACCGUAAACGAUGAAUGCCAGUCGUCGGGCAGUAUACUGUUCGGUGACACACCUAACGGAUUAAGCAUUCCGCCUGGGGAGUACGGUCGCAAGAUUAAAACUCAAAGGAAUUGACGG